UCCCUGUUGGCUCAGCUGGUAAAGAAUCUGCCUGCAGUGCAGGAGGCCCAGGUUCAACUCCUGGGUUGGGAA
rfam:TPA: Bos taurus chromosome 9, whole genome shotgun sequence.